CACCAACUGAGGCCUAUUAAGCAUGUUGCUUUUGACUGGCCUGUAACUGGAAGGCGUUUCUAUGGCUGCCCAGUGCAGGAAAAUGGUGUGAAUUGUGGUGUUGUAGAGUGGGUUGAUGGGCCUUGGCCUAUUGUUCUUCAAAGAUGUUUGUGCAAGCUAUGGGAAAUGUUCCAUGAGCAGAACUGUGGAAGGGUACUUGACAAGGAGAAGUUUGAGAAGGAGUUGGCCAAGCUUAAGACUGAAAAUGACAAGCUUUGCAUUGAGUACACCAAGCUUAUUGAUGAUGUAUCCAAGAUGUUUGAUUGGAAGGAUGGUAGGGUGGACAAGAAUGUGCACCAAAAACAAGUGGAGGAGGAAGAACUUGAGAAGAAGAAGAAGGAGCUAGAGGAGAAAGCUAUGUUGGAGGUGAAGAUGGAAAAGCUUAAACUUGCAAAAGAGCAAAGGUGCAUUUUGCAGAGCCAAGCUGAUAUCAUCAAGAACACCAGGAAGGCUAUGAAGGAUGUUCAAGUUGACAGAGAUGUUCUUAUGAAGGAGAAGGAAAAGCUUGAGCUAGUUGUUGCCGAGCUGCUGAAAGAUGGGUAUGCCAGCAAGGAGAAGUUAGAGCAAAUCAAGGCCAUCCUUGAGUCCUGA
rnacentral:rRNA from 1 species